rnacentral:rRNA from 1 species
UAAGCAGAGCCCUUGAAUGGUAAAGCCGCGAAUGGCUCAUUACAACAGCCACAGUUUAUUGGGUCUCCAUUUACUUGGAUAACUGAGCUAAUUGUUGAGCUAAUACACGCACCAAAGCUUCGACCUCACGGGAGGAGCGCAUUUAUUAGAACAAAACCAAUCGGACUUCGGUCCGUCCAUUGGUGAAUCUAAAUAACUUAGCCGAUCGCAUGGUCUCGCACCGGCGACUCACCUUUCAAAUGUCUGCCUUAUCACCUUUCGAUGGUAGUUUAUACGCCUACCAUGGGUUUUACGGGUAACGGAGAAUAAGGGUUCGACUCCGGAGAGGGAGCCUGAGAAACGGCUACCACAUCCAAGGAAGGCAGCAGGCACGCAAAUUACCCACUCCCGGCACGGGGAGGUAGUGACGAAAAAUAACGAGGCGGUUCUCUAUGAGGCCCGCCAUCGGAAUGGGUACAAUCUAAAUC